rnacentral:lncRNA from 1 species
CCAGAGCCAUACUUCAUAUACCUUUCCAGUUUCUGUUGCAGAACCAGCAUCUUCUCCUUCAAUUUCUUCAUUUCUUCUCUCUUUGUCUGAAUAAGCUCUUUGCUGCAGUAGAGGUACCUGUCCAUGUAAAUAGUCUGAGGGAACUCCAGCUUUGUGUGGAUUUUCUCUGGCUGUCCCAGGGAUUGGUUGAACUCAAAUCGGGAGAGUUCAAAGGUCAGCACAGGAGGGAGUUUGGUGAACCAGCGCUCCUGUACAUAUUUCACUGACUGAGUUGCUGUCUCCUCAUCCAUCUCUCCCUCCACCAUGGCUCCUUCCAAGCACUCAUUCAAG